rnacentral:rRNA from 1 species
AGCGAACGCUGGCGGCAGGCCUAACACAUGCAAGUCGAACGAACUCUUCGGAGUUAGUGGCGGACGGGUGAGUAACACGUGGGAACGUGCCUUUAGGUUCGGAAUAACUCAGGGAAACUUGUGCUAAUACCGAAUGUGCCCUUCGGGGGAAAGAUUUAUCGCCUUUAGAGCGGCCCGCGUCUGAUUAGCUAGUUGGUGAGGUAAAGGCUCACCAAGGCGACGAUCAGUAGCUGGUAGGAGAGGAUGAUCAGCCACAUUGGGCCUGGGACACGGACCAAACUCCAACGGGAGGCAGCAGUGGGGAAUCUUGCGCAAUGGGCGAAAGCCUGACGCAGCCAUGCCGCGUGAAUGAUAGAGGUCUUAGGAUUGUAAAAUUCUUUCCCCGGGGACGAUAAUGACGGUACCCGGAGAAGAAGCCCCGGCUAACUUCGUGCCAGCCGCCGCCGUAA